CAGCAGGAGAAAACGGAAUUCCCGGUGUAGUGGUAAAAUGCGUAGAUAUCGGGAGGAACACCAGAGGCGAAGGCGGUUUUCUAGGUUGUCACUGACACUGAGGCUCGAAAGCGUGGGGAGCGAACAGAAUUAGAUACUCUGGUAGUCCACGCCUUAAACUAUGGACACUAGGUAUAGGGAGUAUCGACCCUCUCUGUGCCGAACUAACGCUUUAAGUGUCCCGCCUGGGGAGUACGGUCGCAAGGCUAAAACUCAAAGGAAUUGACGGGGGCCCGCACAAGCAGCGGAGCGUGUGGUUUAAUUCGAUGCUACACGAAGAACCUUACCAAGAUUUGACAUGCAUGAAGUAGUGAACCGAAAGGGAAACGACCUGUUAAGUCAGGAGUUUGCACAGGUGCUGCAUGGCUUGUCCGUCAGCUCGUGCCGUGAGGUGGUUUGGUUAAGUCCUUGCAACGAGCGCAACCCUUGGUCGCUAGUUAAAUUUUCUAAGCCGAAGACUGNCCCCGCGAAACGGGAAGGAAGGUGGAUUGACCGUCAAGUCAAGCCAUGGGNCCUUUAUAUUCUUNGGGGCUUACACACACCGCUUACAAUGGGACCAGAACAAUUAGGGUUGGCNAACCAAGUGGUGGAAACU
rnacentral:rRNA from 1 species